ensembl:lncRNA
GAACAAACUGUGGAAACGCUGAAUCAGACUUGAAUUAAGUUGACAAAUGUGAAGAAAUAAGUCCAAUCCAGUUUAAAAGCUUGUUUCUUUGUCGCUUUGGUUCCGUCAGGUGAUCCUCUAGUGAGAAGCUCCGAUUAAAAGUAAGAGUUCAAGGUAAUACAGCUUGUUUAGAACGUGCAUUUAAAUGAAAGAAGCCCAAAUGACCAUUUGAACGUAUUCCGUGCGGAUGUUGCAGUGUGACGGAUGUUGGAAGCGUGUGCAGAUGGCCGUGGCUACGGGCGUCGUAAAGGGUCCAAUUAUGUGGAAGUGAAUAUCACCAGCGUCAAUGUGAAGCGUCCUCGUGGCCCUCGGGGACUUUGUGGCGAAGACGUGACGGCAGCUGGAGGUUGACGUUGUCCUCCCGAAGGAGACGUCCUGCGGCCCGAUAAUGAACAUCAGCUGAUUUGUUCGGGUCAAAAAUGAUGCAAACGCAGGACGGCAAUUCCAGUUGUGGAUGUUAGAAUAGCAAGUGGGGGGGUCAUACGAACUCGGGCCUUUCCCCCAGGAGACCCCUGUUUGUGUCCUUGUUGUGUUUCACGUGCAGCAGCAUCCACAUGGGAGGAAUCCGGGUUUGUCUGAAGCACUUCACUGAAGUCUUAAGAUCAUCACACGUCUGCCUCGUUACAUCACUGUGGUUUCUUUCUUUAGGAUCAGAUGUGUACACGCCUCACAUUGCCAGAUAGCCUUUAAUUAGGAUUUUAGCCCCGAGUUGUCAGGGUGGAGGAGAACUGCAGUAAACCAGCGUAUUACGUAUUAUCCUUGUUAAAGAUAGAGCAGAAGUCUCUUCUCUCCUUCCUCUGAUCUACUGGGUGGUGCUGGCCGUGGUGCUGGACGGAUGGCACCUCUCCAUGUGCCUGAGACGCUCCGUAAUCACCCCAACCGGCCGCGCUCGUAAUCUACUGCAAUGUUGCGGCUCGGAGCGCUUCAUCGCUCUGCUGCAGAAACUAAUGUGACCCGCACACGGAAGCUUCCCCAUCCCAGUCACGGGGGGCAUCAGUGGAAUUCAACCCUGGUCACCGUGGAUACGGGAGAAGCACAUCAAAGCUCGCCAUGCUGCCUCCGGACGUCACGACCACGAUCACCUCUCACCGUCUGCCGAGGCCAGCAGGACUACGCCUUCACCUCCAACCACAUCUUCACACCCGCUCUGUGAAACAUCUGGACCUGCGUAGAGUGUAGUGUGUGUGUGUGUGUGUGUGUGUGUGUGUGUACUAAUUGAGAGCAAAAUCGAAAAACAUUUUUUAUAUUCAGUGUUAAAAACCUUGAGACAAUAACGAUCUGUUAUCUUAACUCGACCGUACAUCAUAGGUUCCGUGUCCCCUCCCUCCUCUUCCUCCUCUUCCUCCUCUUCCUCCCCCCCGGGGCCCCCUGCCGCCCUCGUUACUCGUCUGAGACACGUGCGGCGUUCUGAGGGACGAUGUGUUUGCAUUGCGCCGCGUUUAGACGGAGCGCCUCGGCCCCUUUAAAUGCAAUUACGCUGACGGAUGAUUCCCACCCCGUCCCUGUGUGUAUAGCACCGUGGGGGGGUGGAAGAGGGGGGGGGCAGGCUGAUGCUUGUGUAGAUUGUCAGAGUCUGUGUGACUUCCCACUAAAGUUCGGCACCACGUGUCAAUUUCUCGCUAAUUACAGUUGAUGCAGAAACCAGACUGAGGUUCAGGCAUCGCAUUGGACUUAACUGGUGGGAUGAAAUGUUGCGACUUAAAGGGCGUUUUGUCUUUCCUUCCUGUUGAAAUCCAGCCUGCUUCUAAUUGUGUUCCUUAAUAGAUGUGAUUAAUCAACACCACCAGCUCUUCCUGAGUGAAUGUCCUCUGUUUGUUUGACCAACGCAAAAACACAUUAUUUUAUUAUUUGUUGUAAUUAAAAAUGAUGAAGCUGAACGAAUUGCAAAAAAAUAUAUAUAUAUAUUCCACUUUUUUCUGGCCAGCUGCUUUCAGUGUUUCCUCAUUCUGAUGAAUCUUUGGAAAAGUCCUUUUCCAGCGUAUGUGAACACACAACGUUUGCAGCUUUUAAAUAAGCCAAGCACUCACACGGGAAGGUGUGUGAAUGUGUGCAUGUGUCCAUGUGUGAAUGUGUCCAUGUGUGAAUGUGUGAAUGUGUCCAUGUGUGAAUGUGUCCAUGUGUGAAUGUGUCCAUGUGUGAAUGCGUCCAUGUGUCCAUGUGUGAAUGUGUCCAUGUGUCCAUGUGUGAAUGCGUCCAUGUGUCCAUGUGUCCAUGUGUCCAUGUGUGCAUGUGUGAAUGUGUGAAUGUGUGCAUGUGUCCAUGUGUGCAUGUGUCCAUGUGUCCAUGUGUGCAUGUGUGAAUGUGUGAAUGUGUGCAUGUGUCCAUGUGUGAAUGUGUGAAUGUGUGCAUGUGUGAAUGCGUGAAUGUGUGCAUGUGUCCUUGUGUGCAUGUGUCCAUGUGUGAAUGCGUGCAUGUGUCCAUGUGUCCAUGUGUGAAUGUGUGCAUGUGUCCAUGUGUGAAUGCGUGAAUGCGUGAAUGUGUGCAUGUGUGCAUGUGUGCGGCCAUCUCCUCCUUCUCGUGUAGCUGCAAACAAAAACCAAAGGGAGAGGAAAAUCAAUUAGUUAUUCAUAGUGGAUUAUUAUUGUAGUACAUGCAGACCCCCCCCCCCCCCCCGGAUUAAACGGGAUAAAUACAGUCUGCAGGAAGACGUGCGCUUCUUUCAACUUGCCGGAUAUAAUAAGAGGAUAAAAACGUCUCUCUCCACCUUCCCGUCAUCGUCCUCUUCCCCUUUUAAGUGAUGCCUCAUUUCCAUGAAAAGGUCGAGCUCGACAAUAAGGAGGAGAAACCCGGCUG